UACGAAGGGGGCUAGCGUUGCUCGGAAUUACUGGGCGUAAAGCGCACGUAGGCGGCUUGUUAAGUCGGGGGUGAAAUCCUGGAGCUCAACUCCAGAACUGCCUUCGAUACUGGCGAGCUAGAGUCCGGAAGAGGAGAGUGGAAUUCCUGGUGUAGCGGUGAAAUGCGCAGAUAUCAGGAGGAACACCCGUGGCGAAAGCGGCUCUCUGGGACGGUACUGACGCUGAGACGCGAAAGCGUGGGGAGCAAACAGG
rnacentral:rRNA from 1 species